ACGACGCAUACGCUGACGUUUUGUUAUUAGGCUGGCGCGUGUCCAUUGAUGCUUUAUUAAUUUCGCGUAUAGGUAAUCUAAUUAUUAAUAUCCUCCGCGUCCGUCAAUUUAUUGUUGUGCGCGCGUGUAACGUUUUGUUGUAUAAACGACGAGGAAAAUUAACCCCUCGUGGCAGGAUAACUCAAUAAUUCUGCACUCUUUU